rnacentral:piRNA from 1 species
UAAGCACACGAGUGAAAUUGAUAAUAAAUGG